UGAAAUACUGUGAUAAGGAAUAGUAGAAUUUCGGAAGUAUUCAGAGAACUGUUGGUUGGUGCGAAGCAGUUGCAGAAGGAAUUUGAACUCGCCUUUGAGUAGCUCACUGAACAGACGAUAACUUGUCAGUAGGUGUAGCCGGAACCCAACCGUUAUAUUAGGGAGGAUAUACGACGAUGAUUGUCCGUAUCUGCAAUGAGUGCAUACAACGAUGUAUGAAUUAGAGUGGUACCGCGUAGGUAAUAGCCUUACGUCUCUUAG
rnacentral:ncRNA from 1 species